rnacentral:lncRNA from 1 species
CCAGCUACCCUAUUAAAUUUUAUUAAUUAUGAAACAAAAAGUACAAAGGAGGGGGACUUAAACCGAACCUCCAAGUUACAUGAUCAUGAGAAAGUUUUAGAUAAGCACCUAGAGUAAGGAGAACCAUUUUACGUGCAUAACUUUUGAUGCUACAGUAAAACAGAUAUUCCCAACAAUUACAUUGAGUCAAUAAACUAAAAUAAAAUUUUAAACAGAAAAUGUAAAUAAGAAAAGCACGUAGAAUGGAGUGUUUCAUUUUAUGACCAUAAUUUUUACUAUCGUCAUAAAAUUGAAACACAUCCAUAUUACAAAAUUCUAUGUCACUAGCAAAAUAAAAAAAUGCUCAAGGUUCAGCAAGCAGGAUUCCACAUACAUUAUAGUCACACAUGUUAUUCAUAAAAUCUCUAUUGCAUUAAUACAUGUGAACAUAUGCAAACAUAUAUGUAUAUAUAUACAUCCACCGCCUCCCCAACUCAUGUGCAUCCCCCCACAUUGUGCACAUAGCUAGAGUCAUUGUGUGCAUCCCCCCACAUCGUGCACAUCAAAUGCCGUCGUGUACAUCCCCCCACAUCGUGCACAUGGGCAAUAUCAUCAUCCGCCUACCUCACCACCAUCAUUACCGGUAUGUGCAUCCCCCCACAUCGUGCACACACACGGUUAUAUCCAUUACACAAUAUUAUCUACCAAUGUACUAUACAUAUAUAUA